rnacentral:rRNA from 1 species
CGAAUCCCAUCCGGGCAACUGGGUGGGGGAAGUGGCGAAAGGGGCAGUAAGGCGUGGGCAACCUACCCCGGGGACGGGCAUAGCCGUCCUAACGGACGGGUAAUUCCUGGCGAUUCGGCGGAGGGGCAUCUCUCUGCCGGGAAACGAGUUUCGCCUCGGGAGGGGCUCACGUAGUAUUAGCUGGUUGGUGAGGUAACGGCUCACCAAGGCGAAGAUGCUUAGCGGGUGUGAGAGCACGACCCGCGCCACUGGCACUGAGACACUGGCCAGACUCCUACGGGAGGCUGCAGUCGAGGAUCUUCGGCAAUGGGCGCAAGCCUGACCGAGCGACGCCGCGUGUGCGAAGAAGGCCUUCGGGUUGUAAAGCACUGUCGAGGGGAAGAAAGCCGCAAGGUUGAUCGACCCCUGGAGGAAGCACGGGCUAAGUUCGUGCCAGCAGCCGCGGUAAGACGAACCGUGCGAACGUUGUUCGGAUUCACUGGGCUUAAAGGGCGCGUAGGCGGGUCAUCAAGUCGGUGGUGAAAUCUUUCGGCUCAACCGGAAGACGGCCUCCGAUACUGGUGGUCUCGAGGGGGGUAGGGGCAUGUGGAACUUCGGGUGGAGCGGUGAAAUGCGUAGAUAUCCGAAGGAACGCCGGUGGCGAAAGCGACGUGCUGGACCCUUUCUGACGCUGAGGCGCGAAAGCCAGGGGAGCAAACGGGAUUAGAUACCCCGGUAGUCCUGGCCCUAAACGAUGGGUACUGGGUUGUGGACUGGACAUGGGUUCACAGCCGCAGCUAAAGUGUUAAGUACCCCGCCUGGGGAGUAUGGUCGCAAGGCUGAAACUCAAAGGAUUUGACGG